rnacentral:rRNA from 1 species
GGAGUUUGGCAGAGGGGGGUGGAAUUCCACGUGUAGCAGUGAAAUGCGUAGAGAUGUGGAGGAACACCGAUGGCGAAGGCAGCCCCCUGGGCCGAUACUGACGCUCAUGCACGAAAGCGUGGGUAGCAAACAGGAUUAGAUACCCUGGUAGUCCACGCCCUAAACGAUGUCAACUAGGUGUUGGGAGGGUAAAACCUUUUAGUGCCGUAGCUAAC